ACCUGACAAACUGGCAUCAGGGCCAACCGAUUUAGACCAAACCCUUACCUCGCUUUUUUCGCAACUCACAAAGAAAACCACGAUGACCCGCGCCGCGUGAUUUCAAAACCUAGAAGAAAGGUCACUGUUACAUGAUUAAUCUACUGGGGAUUUGAGUGAUAGAAUCAUGAGGCUGGAGGAAACAGUGAAUCGAAGCAUGGCAAACACUCAAUUUGACAUUCUAGAACUCAGAUCGUGAGGCUGGAGGAAAUUUUAAUAUUGAAGAUUCAAUAUGGUAAUGUCAUGAAUUAUCCAUACGGGAAGUUUACCAGGUUAGUUGUUAUUAUAAAUUAUUUGAAUCGUUAUGAAUUAAUUGUUAUUUGAAUUUGUGUUUCACAAUUAGUUUCUGAUUGUUAAUUAGAGUAUUAAAUUAUUUAUUAUAACCAGUAACUUC